GCCCAGGUGGCGAAAUUGGUAGACGCAAGGGACUUAAAAUCCCUCGGAUGUAUAAUCCGUGCCGGUUCGAUUCCGGCCCUGGGCACCA
rnacentral:tRNA from 1 species